rnacentral:rRNA from 1 species
UUGGAGGGCAAGUCUGGUGCCCGCAGCCGCGGUAAUUCCAGCUCCAAUAGCGUAUAUUAAAGUUGUUGCAGUUAAAAAGCUCGUAGUUGAAUUUCGGGGUCAGCAGGUUGGUCGUGCCACUGGUAUGAACUGGCCUUGCUGAUUCCUCCUUCUUGAAGAACCGUGAUGCCAUUAAUUUGGUGUUGCGGGGAAACAGGACUGUUACUUUGAAAAAAUUAGAGUGUUUAAGGCAGGCUCACGCUUGAAUACAUUAGCAUGGAAUAAUAAAAUAGGACGUUUAUCCUAUUUUGUUGGUUUCUAGGGUUGACGUAAUGAUUAAUAGGGAUAGUUGGGGGCAUUAGUAUUCAAUUGUCAGAGGUGAAAUUCUUGGAUUUAUUGAAGACUAACUACUGCGAAAGCAUUUGCCAAGGAUGUUUUCAUUAAUCAAGAACGAAAGUUAGGGGAUCGAAGACGAUCAGAUACCGUCGUAGUCUUAACCAUAAACUAUGCCGACUAGGGAUCGGAUGAUGUUAAUUUUUUAAUGACUCAUUCGGCGCCUUACGGGAAAC